GGCGCCGUAGCCAAGUGGUUAGGCAACGGUUUGCAAAACCGUCAUACAGCAGUUCGAAUCUGCUCGGCGCCU
rnacentral:tRNA from 1 species